CACGCAGUAAACGAUGAAUACUAGCUGUAUGCGAUAUACUGUAUGUGGCACAGCGAAAGCGUUAAGUAUUCCACCUGGGGAGUACGUUCGCAAGAAUGAAACUCAAAGGAAUUGACGGGGGCCCGCACAAGCGGAGGAACAUGUGGUUUAAUUCGAUGAUACGCGAGGAACCUUACCCGGGCUUGAAAUGCAGAGGAAUGAGGAGGAAACUUCUCCGCCAGCAAUGGUCUCUGUGUAGGUGC
rnacentral:rRNA from 1 species